AUACGGAGGGUGCAAGCGUUAUUCGGAAUCACUGGGCGUAAAGGACGCGUAGGCGGGUUGGCAAGUCAGAUGUGAAAUCCUACAGCUUAACUGUAGAACUGCAUUUGAAACUGCUAACCUAGAGUAUGGGAGGGGGAGAUGGAAUUAGUGGUGUAGGAGUAAAAUCCGUAGAUAUCACUAGGAAUACCGAAAGCGAAGGCGAUCUCCUGGAACAUAACUGACGCUAAGGCGUGAAAGCGUGGGGAGCAAACAGGAUUAGACACCCUAGUAGUCC
rnacentral:rRNA from 1 species